UUGGUCAAGAUCCCAACCCUAAAAUUCCUAAGCUUUUUCUGCAGAGACGCAAUGGUUUCGGUGAAUGGUGUUAUGGCGAUGAUCGGCGCUGCAGGCGCCGGAAUGACUCUGUAUUUGACGUGUGAAGAAAUCUGUCAUAUCGUGAAGAUGAGAGCAGAGAAAAGAAGGGCAACAGCACCAUCCCCCUCUGUCAACCAACAGUUACCGUCUGCUGUGAAGCCAUGAAUGAUGCUCCAUAACAAGGAGUCGAGAAGUCUCAUGUGCAGAGAUGAUGAUUAGUUAGCAUGAGUGUUGGGUGUGUGUGUCGUGGAUGUCUUUUGGUUCUCGAAACUCAAAACUAUGUUUUUAUUUAUUAUGAUUGUAUAAACUCAAAAAUAUGAGGUUUGAUUCCCUGA